rnacentral:misc_RNA from 1 species
UACGGAGGGUGCAAGCGUUAUCCGGAAUCACUGGGUUUAAAGGGUGCGUAGGCGGCGUCAUAAGUCAGAGGUGAAAGCCUGCAGCUUAACUGUAGAAUUGCCUUUGAUACUGUGGUGCUUGAAUAAGGAUGAGGUAAGCGGAAUGUGGCAUGUAGCGGUGAAAUGCUUAGAUAUGCCAUAGAACACCGAUUGCGAAGGCAGCUUACUGGACCUUUAUUGACGCUGAGGCACGAAAGCUAGGGUCUCGAACCGG